ACGUACAGACACAAGUAAUAAAUAUUUAAUGCGUCUAAGUAUUAGCAAGUCGGCGACCAAUGCACGAAUAUGUGCGCGUAUAAAAAAAAGUCGUCACGCACGUCGUACAUACCUAUAUAUGUGUAGUAGAACUUUUGUUUCGGGGAACGAAGUUACAAGCAACCUUUGCAGUAUCUAUGAAGAAUAGAGGACAACAGUUUCUUAAAAAAAAAAAAAAAUUCGUCGAUGACUGUGCAAUAAUACGUUGAUGCGUGAACGACGGAGCAAUCUAGCCUUCCGCGAGGCCAUGCGUACCCCGUACAAUCGCCACUCAUCUCGACCGGCUGAAUAUGAUUUGGACGAACAGGUCGUUGUCUCUAAAUGACGCGAUUGCACGUUUUACACCAUUGCAGAAUGACUACUAACUGCUCCACCACGAUUCGCAGUUUUCCACUAAAAAAAAAAUAAUAAUAAUAAUAAUAUAUGUGUGUGUCAUUAGUGCACAAUAAUAUAAAAUAGUAAUUAUUGCAAGUUUACAAUAUAAUAAUUAUGUACAAUAA